rnacentral:rRNA from 1 species
UACGGAGGGUGCAAGCGUUGCUCGGAAUCAUUGGGCGUAAAGCGCACGUAGGCGGCUCGUUAAGUCGGAUGUGAAAGCCCUGGGCUCAACCCAGGAAGUGCAUACGAAACUGGCGAGCUUGAGUAUGGAAGAGGGUCGCGGAAUUCCCGGUGUAGAGGUGAAAUUCGUAGAUAUCGGGAGGAACACCAGUGGCGAAGGCGGCGACCUGGGCCAAUACUGACGCUGAGGUGCGAAAGCGUGGGGAGCAAACAGG